rnacentral:rRNA from 2 species
GGUGACGAGUGGCGGACGGGUGAGUAAUGUCUGGGAAACUGCCCGAUGGAGGGGGAUAACUACUGGAAACGGUAGCUAAUACCGCAUAACGUCUUCGGACCAAAGUGGGGGACCUUCGGGCCUCACACCAUCGGAUGUGCCCAGAUGGGAUUAGCUAGUAGGUGGGGUAACGGCUCACCUAGGCGACGAUCCCUAGCUGGUCUGAGAGGAUGACCAGCCACACUGGAACUGAGACACGGUCCAGACUCCUACGGGAGGCAGCAGUGGGGAAUAUUGCACAAUGGGCGCAAGCCUGAUGCAGCCAUGCCGCGUGUAUGAAGAAGGCCUUCGGGUUGUAAAGUACUUUCAGUGGGGAGGAAGGCGAUGAAGUUAAUAGCUUCGUCGAUUGACGUUACCCGCAGAAGAAGCACCGGCUAACUCCGUGCCAGCAGCCGCGGUAAUACGGAGGGUGCAAGCGUUAAUCGGAAUUACUGGGCGUAAAGCGCACGCAGGCGGUCUGUCAAGUCGGAUGUGAAAUCCCCGGGCUCAACCUGGGAACUGCAUUCGAAACUGGCAGGCUAGAGUCUUGUAGAGGGGGGUAGAAUUCCAGGUGUAGCGGUGAAAUGCGUAGAGAUCUGGAGGAAUACCGGUGGCGAAGGCGGCCCCCUGGACAAAGACUGACG